AUUGAACGCUGGCGGCAGACCUAACACAUGCAAGUCGAACGAGUGGCGGACGGGUGAGUAAUGUCUGGGAAACUGCCUGAUGGAGGGGGAUAACUAAUGGAAACGGUAGCUAAUACCGCAUACCAUCGGAUGUGCCCAGAUGGGAUUAGCUAGUAGGUGGGGUAACGGCUCACCUAGGCGACGAUCCCUAGCUGGUCUGAGAGGAUGACCAGCCACCCUGGACCUGAGACACGGUCCCGACUCCUACGGGAGGCAGCAGUUGGUAAUAUUGCACACUGGUCGCAAGCCUUAUGCAGCCAUGCCGCGUGUAUGAAGAAGGCCUUCGGGUUGUAAAGUACUUUCAGCGGGGAGGCGUUACCCUCAGAAGAAGCACCGGCUAACUCCGUGCCAGCAGCCGCGGUAAUUC
rnacentral:rRNA from 1 species